GCCACCAGGAAAAAUAUAAUUGAAGACCCAAGAUGUAAAAUCACCUCUGACCGUCAGUUUGAUGAUGGAAUUACUGUUCUUGGGGGUGAAAGACAAAUUUGAGGACAGCCAUCCUCUCAAAAUCGAACACACUGGAACAGACGCUGUAUAUUUACUGUCUUACAUCAGACCUCGCAGCUCAAGUACUUCACCCUGAAAGAUGAACAGUAAAAGGACCAGGAAAAACCCUCUGUCACUACAAACCAGGUGACAGUUAUUAAACUGAGGUUACCUGCAGGUGCAGCUCGGUCGGAUAUCAUGAGGCUUUACUGGCCUUUGAAUUUAAGACUCCGCAGACCACCUUUCACAUUGUGCGUUGUUAUUGUGGCUCAGUGUAUGACGACACUGGGAAAGGAGUUGGCACCUGUAGCCCCUUACAAACCUCCCUCCUCACAUGCCCGUACCACUCAAGCCCUCUUUUGGUUAACAAUGGGCAGCGACCUAGACGCCUGUCAAAGAUGCAGCCAAAUGUGAGAUAAGCUGGGCCAGUAUAAAAUACACUCGCGACAUCAGUCACAGAUUGAGUCUUCAACCUUCCUGUUAAAAG